CUCAGCCCAACACAGAAGAAACACUAGAGAUGAUGAGUCCUGGAGAUCAGGAGCAAACUCAGCCGGAGUCAGUGCUGUCACGAACAUGAGGAAAAGGUUUAUUACAGAUUCAUCACCAACAUUUCAAUACAUUAAAGCUCAAUUUAAAGCUGCGUUGAAACCUCAUGGAUUGUGAAAAGCAUCAAAUACAAGAAUGGCACUGACGGAAUGAUCAUGUGCUGACAUCGAUCAAGCUGAGUUCAGUGUAGUGACGUUAUUCAUUGUUAAUGUAAAUAGUUUUGCACUGUUUUCUUGUUUUUGUAAAUAUAUGUAGUGUUUUUUAUUGUUAUAACACUUUUGCUUUGUAUGUGAUGCUGAUUUUAGCUGUAAGCAAAGUUUACCGGUGUAAAUAAAUCAGAAAAUCUCAGACUGAAUAUUUAAACCUUCCGAUGCCAGAUCAAAUCCUCCUUUAUCACAAUAUAUUAUAGAAACAUUAUGACGCAUGCUGUUAUUAACAUUCAGAGAAACAAAGACAAAUAACAUUAUCAUCAUUAUCGCAGCUCUGGAGAUUGAAGAGUUUGUAUUUCUACAAUGUUUGAAUUAUUAAAUGUUUUAAGAUCAACGACUGCAGAUUGUCUGAUGUUAUCAGUAAAGUUCAGUUGAUCUUCUGAUAUAGAGCUCAGAUGUGGUUUUGUCUGAUCCGAGAGCAGUGUUACAGUGUUCAGGCCUUUAUUUCCUCAGUUCUGUGUUCAUAGAUCAAAAUUGCAUUUAAAUAAUAAAUGUUAAAAGUAUUUUCUAUGGAAGUCUCCUAUCUCUACUGCUUGGUGUAUCAUCUGAUAUACAAUAAAAUAUGCUUGAUUUGUC